UACGGCCACAUCACGUUGUAACAUCGGUUACCGUACGAUCACCGAAGUUAAGCAACGUCGAGCCUCGUCAGGUACUAGAGAGAUAACCGCUUGGGAUUACCAGGUACUGUAAG